ACACUUUGUUACUUUUGUUCUGCCAUUCUAUACAUACCUUAACUUUAAAAAGCAAGACAUAACUAAGGAUCUAAGAUAAUCCACUUCAAAGCAAUAAAAUAUAUGGCGUUAAUAUGGUCAGUGUAUUCUCACGUGAUAUUCCAGAUAAGCAAAUUGAGUUUAUUUUCACAGCGUGUUUUACUUGAGCUCAAAGGUAUAGAGACAUCUAUUUGGCCAUAACUGAAGGAACUUAGAAUGGAAGAUGGUCCUGUACAGGAGGGAUACUGGGAUCCAGUGGAGUUGCAGAAGAUUUGCUUAGGACCCAAACGAAGCAUUUCAGUGGGAGUUUUUACCCACUAUAAAGAUGGAAGGAGAAAAGUGAAAGAGGAAGGGAGGGGGAGAGGCAGGCAGGGACAGAAGAGAAAUAGACAAUUAAAUCUUAAAAUGAAUAAUUAGGACACAAGUAGAGAAAUACAAGAAAGUAGAUGGGUAGGGACUUUUAAAAAGUAAUUUUUAGUGUAUGAAGAUUUUUCUGAGUCAUUUGCCCUUCACAGAUUCAUCCUUUUGAAGAAUCUCUUUUCCUCCUUCCUUUGUGUUCCUCUCAAAUCUCU
rnacentral:lncRNA from 1 species